CCUACGGGAGGCAGCAGUAGGGAAUCUUUCACAAUGGGCGAAAGCCUGAUGGAGCAACGCCGCGUGCAGGAUGAAGGCCUUCGGGUUGUAAACUGCUUUUAUAAGCGAGAAAUAUGAUGGUAACUUAUGAAUAAGGAUCGGCUAACUACGUGCCAGCAGCCGCGGUCAUACGUAGGAGCCGAGCAUUAUCCGGAGUGACUGGGUGUAAAGAGUUGCGUAGGUGGCAUAAUAAGUAGCUAGUGAAAUCUGGUGGCUCAACCAUUCAGACUAUUAGCUAAACUGUUAAGCUCGAGACCGUUAGGGGUAACUGGAAUGUGUAGUGUAGGAGUGAAAUCCGUAGAUAUUAGAAGGAACACCAAUAGCGUAGGCAGGUUGCUGGGACGGUUCUGACACUAAGGCACGAAAGCGUAGGGAGCAAACGGGAUUAGAUACCCGUGUAGUC
rnacentral:rRNA from 1 species